AUGAGUCUCCUAUAUUGGAACUAUCACAACUUAGGGACGGACGUGACAAUUAGCGAACUGAAAUGGCUCGGGAGCAAAUUCCGUCCCUCCCUCAUCUUCCUGUCUGAGACGAAGAUGGGAGGUUCAAGAGCUUGGAACUUUAUGUGGUCAUUAGGAUUCACCCAUUCUUUUGUUGUGAGUAGUGAUGGUUUGAGUGGAGGCCUGGUUCUUUUUUGGUCUUCAUCUAUUUCAGUCUCGCUAAAAGCCUUCUCCACUAGGAUUAUAGAUAUUUUAGUCAAAACAGAAGAUGGUGCAAAAUGGCGUACAACUCUCAUUUCUGGUGAACCCGUAAGGCGAUUAAGACACCAAUUCUGGUAUAUAUCAGGUCCUUGA
rnacentral:rRNA from 1 species